UCUGCUGAUGAGAGAUUUGGUGUCGAU
rnacentral:piRNA from 1 species